UUACUAACAAAGCAUUAAAAAAAUUUCUUAUAAAGCAUUCGAAAACAUUUCAUUAAUUUAUGAUAUACAAUAUAAGAAAUACAUGGCUAAAACGUCCAUGUUUAUUUAUGUUUUGAUCAUCUUUCUUUCGCUCUUUCUUGUUGAAUCCGUUGGUAAUACAAGUAAAUUGCCCUGCAAAUCUUCAAGUGAUUGUCCAAAAUCGGAAGGUCGCAAUAUUUGGACGUGUCUGAACGAAUAUUGUGUGAGAUAUAAUGUGGGGCAUAUUCCUAGAUAAGUAUUGCUAACUCAUGUCGGUAACUAUCCUUACAACAGAUGCACCUCUAUUAUAAGAGAAUCCAUUCUCCUAUUAUAAUAAUAAUGUAACAACAUGUGUUAUAUUUAUUUUUAUUUUUUUGUGAAGUAUUUCAAUGGAUAGAUUCACACAUUUAAAUGUCGAAAAUAAGGAAUUCGAGAUUCAAACACCGGCUACUACACACUACAAGGUAGUUUUUGUCAACGGCUUGUAACAAAAAAAGGCGCUGGCAAAAAUCAAAUUUCUUGUAGUAACAAU